AGAGUUUGAUCCUGGCUCAGGAUGAACGCUAGCGGCAGGCUUAACACAUGCAAGUCGAGGGGCAGCGUGGAGCAGCAAUGCUCUGACGGCGACCGGCGGAAGGGUGCGUAACACGUGAGCGACUUGCCCGUCACAGGGGGAUAACCGGCGGAAACGGCGACUAAUACCCCAUAUGAUGCGAUGCUGCAUGGCAUUGCAUUGAAAGAUUCAUCGGUGGCGGAUAGGCUCGCGGGACAUUAGCUAGACGGCGGGGCAACGGCCCACCGUGGCGACGAUGUCUAGGGGUUCUGAGAGGAAGGCCCCCCACACUGGGACUGAGACACGGCCCAGACUCCUACGGGAGGCAGCAGUGAGGAAUAUUGGUCAAUGGGCGGAAGCCUGAACCAGCCAUGCCGCGUGAAGGACUAAGGCCCUACGGGUCGUAAACUUCUUUAGACGCAGAGCAAUAAGGUCCACGCGUGGACCGAUGAGAGUAUGCGUAGAAUAAGCAUCGGCUAACUCCGUGCCAGCAGCCGCGGUAAUACGGGGGAUGCGAGCGUUAUCCGGAUUCAUUGGGUUUAAAGGGUGCGUAGGCGGCCGAGUAAGUCAGCGGUGAAAGACCGGGGCUCAACCCUGGAAGUGCCGUUGAUACUGUUUGGCUGGAAUGAUCCCGCCGCGGGAGGAAUGAGUGGUGUAGCGGUGAAAUGCAUAGAUAUCACUCAGAACACCGAUUGCGAAGGCAUCUCGCGAGGGGUCUAUUGACGCUGAGGCACGAAAGCGUGGGGAUCGAACAGGAUUAGAUACCCUGGUAGUCCACGCAGUAAACGAUGAUGGCUAACUGUCGGGCCUGCGGGUUCGGCGGCCAAGCGAAAGCGAUAAGCCAUCCACCUGGGGAGUACGACCGCAAGGUUGAAACUCAAAGGAAUUGACGGGGGCC
rnacentral:rRNA from 1 species